rnacentral:rRNA from 1 species
GACGAACGCUGGCGGCGUGCCUAAUACAUGCAAGUUGAGCGAUGAAGAUUGGUGCUUGCACCAAUUUGAAGAGCAGCGAACGGGUGAGUAACGCGUGGGGAAUCUGCCUUUGAGCGGGGGACAACAUUUGGAAACGAAUGCUAAUACCGCAUAACAACUUUAAACAUAAGUUUUAAGUUUGAAAGAUGCAAUUGCAUCACUCAAAGAUGAUCCCGCGUUGUAUUAGCUAGUUGGUGAGGUAAAGGCUCACCAAGGCGAUGAUACAUAGCCGACCUGAGAGGGUGUUCGGCCACAUUGGGACUGAGACACGGCCCAAACUCCUACGGGAGGCAGCAGUAGGGAAUCUUCGGCAAUGGACGAAAGUCUGACCGAGCAACGCCGCGUGAGUGAAGAAGGGUUUCGGAUCGUAAAACUCUGUUGGUAGAGAAGAACGUUGGUGAGAGUGGAAAGCUCAUCAAGUGACGGUAACUACCCAGAAAGGGACGGCUAACUACGUG